GGAAUAUUGCACAAUGGGGGAAACCCUGAUGCAGCCAUGCCGCGUGUGUGAAGAAGGCCUUCGGGUUGUAAAGCACUUUAAGCAGUGAGGCAGGGUUGAACGCGAAUAUCGUCCAACAUUGACGUUAGCUGCAGAAUAAGCACCGGCUAACUCCGUGCCAGCAGCCGCGGUAAUACGGAGGGUGCAAGCGUUAAUCGGAAUUACUGGGCGUAAAGCGCGCGUAGGCGGUAAUCCAAGCUGGAUGUGAAAGCCCCGGGCUCAAACUGGGAAUUGCAUUCAGAACUGGAUUGCUAGAGUACAGAAGAGGGGUGUGGAAUUUCCGGUGUGGCGGUGAAAUGCGUAGAGAUCGGAAGGAACAUCAGUGGCGAAGGCGACACCCUGGUCUGAUACUGACGCUGAGGUGCGAAAGCGUGGGUAGCAAAC
rnacentral:rRNA from 1 species